rnacentral:rRNA from 1 species
CCUACGGGUGGCAGCAGUAGGGAAUCUUCCACAAUGGACGCAACUCUGAUGGAGCAACGCCGCGUGAGUGAAGAAGGGUUUCGGCUCGUAAAGCUCUGUUGGUAGUGAAGAAAGAUAGAGGUAGUCACUGGCCUUUAGUUGCCGGUAAUUACUUAGCAAGUGACGGCUAACUACGUGCCAGAAGCCGCGUUAACACGUAGGGGGCAAGCGUGGUCCGGCUGGAUUGGGCGUAAAGGGAGGUCAGGGUGUUCAAUAAGUUUGAUGUGAAAGCCUUCGGCUCACCCGGAGAAUUGCAUCAGAAACUGUUGAACUUGAGUGCAGAAGAGGAGAGUGGAACUCCAUGUGUAGCGGUGGAAUGCGUAGAUAUAAGGAAGAACACCAGUGGCGAAGGCGGCUCUCUGGUCUGCAACUGACGCUGAGGCUCGAAAGCAUGGGUAGCGAACAGGAUUAGAUACCCCUGUAGUC